GACGAACGCUGGCGGCGUGCCUAAUACAUGCAAGUAGAACGCAGUUGCGAACGGGUGAGUAACGCGUAGGUAACUGCCUCAUAGCGGGGGAUAACUAUUGGAAACGAUAGCUAAUACCGCAUACUGUGAGAUGGACCUGCGUUGUAUUAGGUAGUUGGUGAGGUAAAGGAUCACCAAGGCGACGUUACAUAGCCGACCUGAGAGGGUGAUCGGCCACAAUGAGACUGAGUAACGGCCCAGACUCCCACGGGAGGCAGCCGUAGGGAAUCGUCGGCAAUGAACGGAAGUCUUACCGAGAAACGCCGAGUGAGGGAGGAAGGUUUUCGGGUCGUAAAGCUCUGUUGUUGGAGAAGCGGUAACUAAACAGAAAGCAACGGCUAACUACGUGCCAGCAGCCGCGGUAAUUC
rnacentral:rRNA from 1 species